rnacentral:misc_RNA from 1 species
GAUGAAGAACGUAGCAAAAUGCGAUACUUGGUGUGAAUUGCAGAAUCCCGUGAACCAUCGAGUCUUUGAACGCAAGUUGCGCCUCAAGCCAUUAGGUUGAGGGCACGUCUGCCUGGGCGUCACAUAUCGUUGCCUGAUGCCAGUUUCCUCGUGAUGGGUGACUGUGCAGGGCGAAUGAUGGCUUCCCGUGAGCAUUGUUGCCUCAUGGUUGGUUGAAAAUUGAGUCCUUGGUAGGGAGCGCCGUGAUAGAUGGUGGUUGAGUGACGAACGAGACCCAAUCAUGUGAGACCCCUACCGAAUUUGGCCUUCAUGACCCACAUGCGUCUUUGGAACGCUCAUGACGAGACCUCAGGUCAGGCGGGGCUACCCGCUGAGUUUAAGCAUAUCAAUAAGCGGAGGA